CAAAACUUCGAAUGACGGGUGGGGUGUUGAAAAUCUCACCAUUAAAUGUUUUUUUCUACUUUUCAUUUACUUUCAGGUGAAUUCAUCGUCCGUUUACUGGAUUUGAUUGGUGCCAAAGGUGAAUUUAAACCGUUAUGCGACAUAGAAAUGACCGGCAUCUUCUUCCAGAAAAUUUAUAAGGAAUAAAACUUGGUUCGUCCUUGAAAUGUUGCGGUUGCUUCGUACUGUUUUUUAAUCUCUCCGCCCCUCUUUGGUGAUGUAAGAGGAAAAAAAGGUCGUCCACCCUUCAACGAUCGACGUAAUUUCUGGACGUGGUGUGGCCUCGAAUGAAUCGUUCACCUUGAUUCGACUCAGUCUACCAACUUCCACCGUGGGAGCCCAGUUGCUUGCUGGCAAGUUAUGGAAAUGACUAAAAGCAACGCGAGAAGAGGAAUUGGAUCGGUUUGAAACAACGUGAGUGUCUACGCCAUUGAUCCAAUGGAAUUAGGAGGAGUCUGCUCUACCCACGUUUUAAUGGCGGAGGAAGGAGGGGACUUACUACAUCACCAAGUAAAUCGACGACGCUGUUCGGCUGUAGUUUCUGCUUUCCUGUAAGAAUGAAACAAUCCAGUUGACUUCGGUAGAGUUUCUCCCAACUCUUCGCUGAUAUGAGGCCGGAUCGACAGUUGUAGGCCAAAAUGUGAAUUUCACCAACACCCAGAACUCCUUUUUCAAUAUUAUUAAAAAUACGAGAAAAGAACUCCACUACUCUUUGGAGUUCUAUUGUCGGCUUGGCAACACCACACGAAGCAAAUAAAAAAUGGCUACGAGUAUCUUUCGUAUCGUUCAUGGUGCCGUUAAACCACAUCAAACGAAAGUGUGGCGUUUCUUCUGGUUCUGACUUUCAAUUAGGAUGAGUCGGCAUGGAGUCGGUACAAUUGGUUAAUUAAGGACUAAUUAGGCACAGAAUUGACAAAUUUCAACAAGUUUUGACAUCUUCGAGGCAGAGGCCCUGAUGCCCACCCUAUUGGCAUUCCCACAUCUCUGACAUUGUUUGAAAACUUUGUAGGCUGAUUGCUUAAGGAGAUUUGGAUAGAUGUGAUUUGUGGUGUUAAAUCUUUGCCAGAGAAGAUACUACACCGUCCUGCAUGCUGAUUGUAUUUGAUGCUGUGCAAGCCCUAAUGGUUGAAGGAAGGCAACCUCAUUGAUGUUUGGCCACUGCUUAAUCUGAAAGGGACUGUUGUAUUUGUUCCUGUCAGAAAAUUUAUUGUAGUAAGUUGAAUGUUCAUCUUGAAAUGGUUGAAGAGAUCGAGUGGAGUCUACUCUUCAACAACAAGGGGAUUCAACAUCAUCGAGUUACAGAUUGAAGUUUUACAGCAGUAACUCGAGUUCAACAACAGUAAUAUAUAUUUUGUGCUAUGAUAUACAUUCUGUAUAAGUGAGAAAUGAAAUAUACAAAUUAUAAAUGA